rnacentral:rRNA from 1 species
CUCCGGUUGAUCCUGCCGGACCUGACUGCUAUCGGAUUGGUACUAAGCCAUGCGAGUCGUUGUAGCAAUACAAGGCGGACGGCUCAGUAACACGUAGUCAACCUAACCUAUGGACGUGGAUAACCUCGGGAAACUGAGAAUAAACCGCGAUAGAUCAUUAUGCCUGGAAUGGCUUAUGGUUUAAACAAUUUAUUGCCGUAGGAUGGGACUGCGGCCUAUCAGCUUGUUGGUGAGGUAAUGGCCCACCAAGGCUAUAACAGGUACGGGCUCUGAGAGGAGAAGCCCGGAGAUGGGUACUGAGACACGGACCCAGGCCCUAUGGGGCGCAGCAGGCGAGAAACCUUAGCAAUGUGCGAAAGCACGACUGGGUCAGUCCGAGUGAUUCCUGAUAAAGGAGUCUUUUGCCUGUCCUAAAAGCACAGGUGAAUAAGGGGUGGGCAAGUCUGGUGUCAGCCGCCGCGGUAAUACCAGCACCUCGAGUGGUCAGGACGUUUAUUGGGCCUAAAGCAUCCGUAGCCGGCUUUGCAAGUCUUCGGUUAAAUCCACCUGCUCAACAGAUGGGCUGCUGGAGAUACUACAAAGCUAGGGAGUGGGAGAGGCAGACGGUAUUCAGUGGGUAGGGGUAAAAUCCACUGAUCCAUUGAGGACCACCAGUGGCGAAGGCGGUCUGCCAGAACACGUUCGACGGUGAGGGAUGAAAGCUGGGGGAGCAAACCGGAUUAGAUACCCGGGUAGUCCCAGCUGUAAACGAUGCAAACUCGGUGAUGCAUUGGCUUAUGGCCAAUGCAGUGCCGCAGGGAAGCCGUUAAGUUUGCCGCCUGGGAAGUACGGACGCAAGUCUGAAACUUAAAGGAAUUGGCGGGGGAGCA